rnacentral:rRNA from 1 species
GGAAUAUUGGACAAUGGGGGCAACCCUGAUCCAGCAAUGCCGCGUGUGUGAAGAAGGCCUGCGGGUUGUAAAGCACUUUCAGAGGGGAAGAAAAAAUCGGAGCUAACAUCUCCGGUCUUGACGUUACCCUUAGAAGAAGCACCGGCUAACUUCGUGCCAGCAGCCGCGGUAAUACGAAGGGUGCAAGCGUUACUCGGAAUUACUGGGCGUAAAGCGUGCGUAGGUGGUUUGUUAAGUCUGAUGUGAAAGCCCUGGGCUCAACCUGGGAAUUGCAUUGGAUACUGGCAGUCUAGAGUGCGGUAGAGGGUAGCGGAAUUCCCGGUGUAGCAGUGAAAUGCGUAGAUAUCGGGAGGAACAUCCGUGGCGAAGGCGGCUACCUGGACCAGCACUGACACUGAGGCACGAAAGCGUGGGGAGCAAAC